rnacentral:lncRNA from 1 species
CCUUGGGGGGUGGGGCUGGCCAACAUCGUCCGCCGGACUCGGAAUGCCGCGAACCAUUGCGAGGGGCCUCCGUGUGCCAAAAAUAGGCCACGGGAAAAGCCGCGCCCAAAAAUAACCGCCCGAUGGCCGGGGCGCCAAGUUCUUCCAGCGGAAAAAGGCCACAAAAACGGGUGGGCUAUAGCCUUGGGGGGUGGGGCUGGCCAACAUCGUCCGCCGGACUCGGAAUGCCGCGAGCCAUUGCGAGGGGCCUCCGUGUGCCAAAAAUAGGCUGCAGGCAAAGCCGCGCCCAAAAAUAACCGCCCGAAAGCCGGGGCGCCAAGUUCGUCCAGCGGAAAAAGGCCACAAAAACGGGUGGGCUAUAGCCUCGGGGGGUGGGGCUGCCCAACUUUGUCCGCCGUACUCGGAAUGCUGCGAGCCAUUGCGAGGGGCCUCCGUGUGCCAAAAAUAGGCCACGGGAAAAGCCGCGCCCAAAAUUAACCGCCCGAUGGCCGGGGCGCCAAGUUCUUCCAGCGGAAAAAGGCCACAAAAACGGGUGGGCUAUAGCCUUGGGGGGUGGGGCUGGCCAACAUCGUCCGCCGGACUCGGAAUGCCGCAAACCAUUGCGAGGGGCCUCCGUGUGCCAAAAAUAGGCCACGGGAAAAGCCGCGCCCAAAAAUAACCGCCCGAUGGCCGGGGCGCCAAGUUCUUCCAGCGGAAAAAGGCCACAAAAACGGGUGGGCUAUAGCCUUGGGGGGUGGGGCUGGCCAACAUCGUCCGCCGGACUCGGAAUGCCGCGAGCCAUUGCGAGGGGCCUCCGUGUGCCAAAAAUAGGCUGCAGGCAAAGCCGCGCCCAAAAAUAACCGCCCGAAAGCCGGGGCGCCAAGUUCGUCCAGCGGAAAAAGGCCACAAAAACGGGUGGGCUAUAGCCUCGGGGGGUGGGGCUGCCCAACUUUGUCCGCCGUACUCGGAAUGCUGCGAGCCAUUGCGAGGGGCCUCCGUGUGCCAAAAAUAGGCCACGGGAAAAGCCGCGCCCAAAAUUAACCGCCCGAUGGCCGGGGCGCCAAGUUCUUCCAGCGGAAAAAGGCCACAAAAACGGGUGGGCUAUAGCCUUGGGGGGUGGGGCUGGCCAACAUCGUCCGCCGGACUCGGAAUGCCGCAAGCCAUUGCGAGGGGCCUCCGUGUGCCAAAAAUAGGCUGCAGGCAAAGCCGCGCCCAAAAAUAACCGCCCGAAAUCCGGGGCGCCAAGUUCGUCCAGCGGAAAAAGGCCACAAAAACGGGUGGGCUAUAGCCUUGGGGGGUGGGGCUGGCCAACUUCGUCCGCCGGACUCGGAAUGCCUCGAGACUUUGAGAGGGGCCUCUGUGUGCCAAAAAUAGGCCACAGGCAAAGAUGCGCCCAAAAAUAACCGCCCGAAGGCCGGGGCGCCAAGUUCGUCCAGCAUAAAAAGGCCACAAAAACGGGUGGGCUAUAGCCUUGGGGGGUGGGGCUGGCCAACUUCGUCCGCCGGACUCGGAAUGCCGCGAGACGUUGCGAGGGGCCUCCGUGUGCCAAAAAUAGGCUGCGGGAAAAGCCGUGCCCAAUAAUAACCGCCCGAAGGCCGGGGCGCCAAGUUCGUCCAGCGGAAAAAGGCCACAAAUACGGGUGGGCUAUAGCCUUGGGGGGUGGGGCUGGCCAACUUCGUCCGCCGGACUCGGAAUGCCGUGAGACUUUGUGAGGGGCCUCCCUGUCCCAAAAAUACGCAGCGGGCAAAGCCGCGCCCAAAAAUAACUGCUCGAAGGCCGGUNN